UUUAUUUUCUAAAUUGCCGUGGGUAGUAGUAAUACGACCCUUAUUAUAUAACUAUAUGACGGGAAACUCCUAAAGUCUUUUUAUAGGUAUAUUGUGAAAACAAAUUUUUUUGCGUACACAAACCUUAAAUAUUCAAAAGAAUAGAAGGGCGCAUCCUUAUCUUGAUCCCCUCUUUAGAGGGGAUUGUAAAAAGGGAUAGGAGGCGUUUAUCCUGCCCCACUAGGGUCGGAUCUUAUUUAGGUUUAAUUAAAUAAGUGAAAAUGGACAAUCCGCAGGAAACAUUAUAUGUAUAUUUAUUAUAUGUUGAGGAUCCUCAGAGACUACACGUUAUACCCCUAUAACUUAAAUUUAUAGGGUGAAGAUAUAGUCCAAUUAUAACUGAAAGGUUAUA
rnacentral:ncRNA from 1 species